UCCAGCCAUCAUUAAUGCUUUUGAAUACACCUGUGCUUUUCCUACUAUGACAUGUCAACAUGUCUGUCGGGCCCGGGCCCAGCCAUCCAUGCCAGCCACUACGUCAGCAAUUGUCGGACCAGUUAGUAUACGGUGGCUGAGAAGCAAAACUAGCUUGCAUCACAUAACUGUAGAAGUAACAUUAGUUCAAGUUCGUUUCGGAUUUAAGAUGUAAAGUUUUAAUUUUAUUUUUUGGGGCUUUUCCCUUUCUAUUGAAAGUGGAUAGACAUGAAAGGGGAAGAGAGAUGGGGGAUGACACACAGCAAAGGGCAGCAGGUCAGACUGACUGCAGGACUCCGCCAACAUGGGGGGGAACGCUCUGAGCUAGAGGCCGCCCCUGGGUUUAAGAUGUAAAGUUAAUGAAAGAAAGGAGGAUGUUCUUCUUCAUCAAAUGAUGAGCAGCUUUUGGUUAUACCUGGCUUUUAUCCUCCGUUGUUUCCUGACCCCUGCACUGGCUACUGGUGAUGGUUUUACAGUCAAACUAAAUGCUUCAAAUAUCAGUGGAUGCCCUGGCGUCCGCAGCAGGACCAUGAGGCUGUCAUGUCCCUGUAACUCAUUGAAGUAAGGGCGAAUCUUGACCUCGUACUCCGUACUGCUAUACAGAUCUACCAAGAUGAUGCUGUGGUCAGACGUGGCCUCCACAUCCUGGACCAACCAGGAGCUGCCGAUAGUCCGGUAAAAUAUACGAUAACCCUGAACGUACCGGGACUGAAAGGCGACCUGAGAAAAGUUGGCAAGGCAAGAAGAAGAAGAAACAGAGUUUCACAUUUACAUCAGUAAUGACAAGCAGAACCAGCUGUGUCUGUACUUCAAGCUAAUCUGUUUGUGUCACGUAAUGUUUGGGGGUUUUGAAGUUAAUUCUUGGAGAAUAGCGUGUCCUCCGCACGCUGCAAGCCGACAUUGAGUAAGUAGACUUUUUGAUGAGCCGAGUAUUCAACUCACAGUCCAAGAAAUCCUGGCGCUGGUAGGAGACAGAACCACAGGCUUCUGCAGGUAGACAGACACCUCUCCUAACUCCCUCUGCACCUGUCUGUGGUCCACACCUUGUUCUGUAGGACUUCCAUCUGACACAACAAAAAAAAUCAGUCAGUCCAAGCCACAAUAACAGCCGGAUAGCAAUUAUUCAGAAAAAAAAAAAAAAAAACGAAGCUUUUUGAUGAAAUUCAGCAGCGCUCAAGGUAAAAGAGAAUCACACUGGGAAAGCAAAUUAGUUUUGAGACUGCACAUGAAAAGCAAAGUUUUUUUAAACCUCAUUAUCUUGGUGCCAGCCUCAGUAUCUCUAAUGUCUUUCUUCAAAAAUAUAAACUAAAAGAUUGUAAAGUAGGACUUAUAUUACGCAAGAGUAUAAUCAGAAAAAUAUGAGUUUUUGUUUCUAUAACUCACCCUGCGUCCUGACAGGCUCGGAGAUGGGGCUGGGGUCACUGAGGCCAUAAGAGUUGACUGCUCGGACGAUGAAGAGAUAAACAGUGUUGGGGAAGAGUCCGACCACUGUGUGCCUCUCAUGCUUCACGUGGUCCGCCACCGUUUGCCAGGUGCUGCCCACUGAUUGGCUGAAGGGAAAGAAACAAGACAAUUAAAGCAUUUCUUAAAAUCUC